rnacentral:sRNA from 1 species
AGGCGACGAUGCAGAGGGCUGUAAGUGUGGUGGCCCAUCUGGGCUCUCGCCUGCAGGCAUUCUCCCCGGCCUUGUGUCGUCCAUUUAGUUGCGCACAGGAGGUGCUCCGCCGGACACCGCUGUAUGACUUCCACCUGGCCCACGGCGGGAAAAUGGUGGCGUUUGCGGGUUGGAGUCUGCCAGUGCAGUACCGGGACAGUCACACUGACUCGCACCUGCACACACGCCAGCACUGCUCGCUCUUUGACGUGUCUCAUAUGCUGCAGACCAAGAUACUUGGUAGUGACCGGGUGAAGCUGAUGGAGAGUCUAGUGGUUGGAGACAUUGCAGAGCUAAGACCAAACCAGGGGACACUGUCGCUGUUUACCAACGAGGCUGGAGGCAUCUUAGAUGACUUGAUUGUAACCAGUACUUCUGAGGGCCACCUGUAUGUGGUGUCCAACGCUGGCUGCUGGGAGAAAGAUUUGGCCCUCAUGCAGGUAUACCCCCUCUGUGUUCUAGGCACCUUGUCUUCCUUGUUCAUAGAGCAGCAUCCUUGUUAUCCAAGACAGGGUUGGCACAGACAAAGGACCUGGAAAAUGGCUCUUUCAGUGAAUGAACAGCUAUGAGACUCAAGAGCAGGCCCUCUCUGGAGCAUGCCAGGGUUUGGUGGUGGGGGAUUACCAGGCAUGGGGAGGGGGUCUUGGCCCCUCUGGUGUGAGGUGGCAGACCUGGGCUUGGGUCAUCUCUAUCACUUAGUAGCUAUGUGACCUUGUAAGAUGGGAACCAGCCUACUACCUUUUUUUCCUCCCUCCUCCUCCUCCUCUCCACUGUCUUACUACUGUCCAGCUCUGCAGCGUCCAGCCCAUGGUAGCUGCUCAGUAAGUGGCCCCAGAUGCUCUUGUGUUUCUGUCUUUUAGGACAAGGUCAGGGAGCUUCAGAACCAGGGCAGAGAUGUGGGCCUGGAGGUGUUGGAUAAUGCCCUGCUAGCUCUGCAAGGUGAGAGGGCUGGGCUGGGGUUGGAGCCAACCUUUGCCUUCCUGGCUUUAUUGACUGCUUAGCACAGAGGCCAUACCAAGAAGAAGGUGUGGAAGGUGUGAUAUUUGUGUGCCAUAAUUUUAAGUUUGGUAUCUUGCCCUCCUCCUACCUACCACAAGGCUCCAUGGGCUAGAGACAAGGGCAUCUUCUCCCACUUGCAGAGUAAGACGUGCUCAGGGCUUGUUCUAGUCCCUGAAUAAGGCUUUAGUCCAGGUUUGAGGGAUGCUGGGACCUGGAUACUUGGUCACUGGCUCCCUGGGCCCAGGCCCCACUGCAGCCCAGGUACUACAGGCCGGCGUGGCAGAUGACCUGAGGAAACUGCCCUUCAUGACCAGUGCUGUGAUGGAGGUGUUUGGCGUGUCUGGCUGCCGUGUGACCCGCUGUGGCUACACAGGAGAGGAUGGUGUGGAGAUCUCGGUGCCGGUAGCGGGGGCAGUUCACCUGGCAACAGCUCUUCUGAAAAACCCAGAGGUGAAGCUGGCAGGGCUGGCAGCCAGGGACAGCCUGCGCCUGGAGGCAGGCCUCUGCCUGUACGGGAAUGACAUUGAUGAACACACUACACCUGUGGAGGGCAGCCUCAGUUGGACACUGGGGAAGCGCCGCCGAGCUGCUAUGGACUUCCCUGGAGCCAAAGUCAUUGUUCCCCAGCUGAAGGGCAAGGUGCAGCGGAGGCGUGUGGGGUUGAUGUGUGAGGGGGCCCCCAUGCGGGCACACAGUCCCAUCCUGAACAUGGAGGGUACCAAGAUUGGUACUGUGACUAGUGGCUGCCCCUCGCCCUCUCUGAAGAAGAAUGUGGCGAUGGGUUAUGUGCCCUGCGAGUACAGUCGUCCAGGGACAAUGCUGCUGGUAGAGGUGCGGCGGAAGCAGCAGAUGGCUGUAGUCAGCAAGAUGCCCUUUGUGCCCACAAACUACUAUACCCUCAAGUGAAGCUGGCUCAGGGUGGGGCUGUCCCUUCCAGAAGUUUUGCCCCUACAAGGGGUUAGUCAAGAAGCUGAGGCAGAACUCACUGGGGGUGGGCAGUUAAGGUGGAGGCUGAUUCUAAUUGUCUGGCUGAGGGGCCACACCACCUAUUCCCCCCACCUAACUCAUGCCACUCCAGCUUCCUUCAGGACCCUGCUUCUGAGUGACGGACCAGCUCACACAAUGUCUUGUUUCAGUCCAUGAUCCCACUGACCUACUCUUGCCUGCUGGAGGGUAAUGAGAAGCUUUGGUUCUGCCAUCUCUCCCACUCUGCCAGGUGCUGGCUGUGGAGCAAAGGCUCACCUUUGUGGGGAGGAUAAAACCUGCCCAACCUACCUCACCAUGGUUUUUCACAUUGCAAACGGUAAUAACAUGGGCAGUGUGGACUUAGGCUACCCCCUCCAGUUUGCUUUCCGUAAAUGCAAAUUGUCCCUACUGCAAGUCAGGAAUGAUUGCCGACUCACAGUAGGGCUGCUAUGCCUGUGUGUAAACUUGGGGAUGGCUGAGGGAACACAGACUCACUCUUCCGCAUUCCCAAGUUGGUCUAGUGUGCUGCCCAGUAGCAAACCAUGGCAGGCUCACCACCUAUUCUGAGCUCCAGGGCUGUUGUAGGGCAGGGUGGGCUUCCUCCCAGACUUGCCUUACCCUGGGCUGAUCUUUGCCCCUGGUAUGCAUUAAUGGAC